GGGCUGGUGGUGUAAUGGUGUGCAUCUGACUUCAGAUCAGAAGGUUGCAUGUUCUAAUUAUGUCUGGCUCA